UACGUAGGGUGCGAGCGUUGUCCAGAAUUAUUGGGCGUAAAGAGCUUGUAGGCGGUCUGUCGCGUCUGCUGUGAAAAUCCGGGGCUCAACCCCGGACUUGCAGUGGGUACGGGCAGACUAGAGUGUGGUAGGGGAGACUGGAAUUCCUGGUGUAGCGGUGAAAUGCGCAGAUAUCAGGAGGAACACCGAUGGCGAAGGCAGGUCUCUGGGGCCACUACUGACGCU
rnacentral:rRNA from 1 species